AUUGAACGCUGGCGGCAGGCCUAAUACAUGCAAGUCGAACGAGUGGCGGACGUGUGAGUAAUGUCUGGGAAACUGCCUGAUGGAGGGGGAUACCUACUGGAAACGUUAGCUAAUACCGCAUACCAUCGGAUGUGCCCAGAUGGGCGUAGCUAUUAGGUGGGGUAAAGGCUAACCUAGGCGACGAUCCCUAGCGGGUCUGAGAGGAUGACCAGCAACACUGGAACUGAGCCACGGUCCAGAUGCCUACGUGAGGAAGCAGUGGGGAAUAUUGCACAAUGGGCGCAAGCCUGAUACAGCCAUGCCGCGUGUAUGAAGAAGGCCUUCGGGUUGUAAAGUACUUUCAGCGGGGAGGCGUUACCCGCAGAAGAAGCACCGGCUAACUCCGUGCCAGCAGCCGCGGUAAUAC
rnacentral:rRNA from 1 species